rnacentral:rRNA from 1 species
AACGAACGCUGGCGGCAUGCCUUACACAUGCAAGUCGAACGGGCAGCACGGGGGCAAUCCUGGUGGCGAGUGGCGAACGGGUGAGUAAAGCAUCGGAACGUGCCCUGGAGUGGGGGGAUAACGUAGCGAAAGUUACGCUAAUACCGCAUAUUCUGUGAGCAGGAAAGCAGGGGAUCGCAAGACCUUGCGCUCUGGGAGCGGCCGAUGUCGGAUUAGCUAGUUGGUGGGUAAAGGCCUACCAAGGCGACGAUCCGUAGCGGGUCUGAGAGGAUGAUCGCCACACUGGGACUGAGACACGGCCCAGGACUCCUACGGAGG